ACGCUCGACACCUACGGAGGCAGCAGUGGGGAAUAUUGCACAAUGGGGGAAACCCUGAUGCAGCAACGCCGCGUGAAGGAAGACGGUUUUCGGAUUGUAAACUUCUGUUCUUAGUGAAGAUAGUGACGGUAGCUAAGGAGCAAGCCACGGCUAACUACGUGCCAGCAGCGCGGUAAUCUGAGCGGGCUGGCAAGGC
rnacentral:rRNA from 1 species